GUCCAUUCCAAGUCUACUAGUUAGUAGUUAUUCGGUCGGUCAACCCAAGGGGAGAACUAUGCAAAAUUGUUUUCAACCUUGACGAAAGAAAUGGAAAGGAAGGAUGAAGCAGAAGAAGCUAAAAGCAAAGUUUCUGUGAUCGAAACAUGGCUGAGAAAGCACCGUUUGCUCUACGUUGGAGCCACCAGACACCCUUUUAUCCAUAGCAUUCGAGAUGGCUCUGUAGAUGUCUCUUCAUUCAAGAGAUGGCUGGAGCAAGACUACAUAUUUGUUAGAGCAUUUGUCCCUUUUGUUGCGACUGUCUUGCUUAAGGCCUGGAAGGAGUCCUUUGAUGCCACUGAUAUGGACGUCAUUUUGAGUGGUAUGGCUUCUCUCAAUGAUGAAUUUGCUUGGUUCAACAAAGAGGCUUCAAAGUGGGGUGUUUCACUCACAAAUGUUGCUCCUCAGAAGGCAAACCUUGAUUACUGCAGAUUUCUGGAAAGUCUAAUGAGCUCUGAAGUUGAAUACACCGUGGCUAUUACAGCUUUUUGGGCUAUUGAAACUGUUUAUCAAGACAGCUUUGCACACUGCCUGGAAGAUGGUUCGAAUACUCCAGAAGAAUUAAGAGAUACCUGCCAGAGAUGGGGGAAUGAUGGCUUUGGUCAAUAUUGCCAUGCGCUCCAAAGCAUAGCCGAGCAUCAUCUAGAGAAGGCAUCUGAUGAUGUUCGUAAAAGAACUGAGGCAGCAGUGCUAGAUGUUCUUGAAUAUGAAGUUGCCUUUUGGAACAUGAGCCAAGGGGAUACCUGAAUGCUUUGGGUUGAUAUCUCUCCCAGUGCCUGGGCAUGUUAGACAAUGUGGGUGAUGCACCUUUGAGUGACUCUAGCAGGAUUUUCUACAUUAACGUCUAAUAAAUUGCCCAGAGUUUGAUUUUCUACACAUCUUGAUUUCAGUAUCCUCCAGUAUCUGUAGAACUAAGUCUGCGCAUUGUCAUUUUCUGCUGCUAUCCAUCUAAAGAUGACUGUUAUCCAAGUUAGGAGGGCUUCUGCCUCUGAUUAGUGAUGCAAAUUAAUUCCUUUCUUCCAACAUCGAACCAGCCAUUGCAUUUAGAAAGAAUAUCUACACCGCUCAACUUCGGCUGCACAGAACUUUGGCAAGAUUUGAUAUGGUCAACCUGCUCUGUUGUGAAAUAAUAACCUCUUGUUCCACGAGUUUAGCCCAUAAACGACUUUGUGUAAUUGGGAGGUGGUGAUAACUGAUAAAAGUCCCAGUAAAGAUUCAAGGCAGCAGGGAUGGCAUGGUGGUUGACUAUGGGACAUGCCUCUUGGAAAACCUAUUCAUGAUGGAUCUGAAAACUCUCCGUCCCCCCCCCCCCCCUUUUUUUUUUCACUGCCUUGAUCCCUGCUGAUUCCAGAAGAGAUCAUGAGCAAUAUUAGGAUUCUGUACUGCUGAAGUAGGAUUCGAAGAAAUCCAGUUAAUCGCUUGUACUUUAUGCGCAUCUAUUGGAAAACACGCUCGAACGUGGUUCUAUCGGCUCAA